AUACGGAGGGUCCGAGCGUUAUCCGGAAUCAUUGGGUUUAAAGGGUCCGUAGGCGGGAAUCUAAGUCAGUGGUGAAAUCUUGCAGCUCAACUGUAAAAUUGCCAUUGAUACUGGAUUUCUUGAAUUAGUGUGAAGUGAUUAGAAUGUGUAGUGUAGCGGUGAAAUGCAUAGAUAUUACACAGAAUACCAAUUGCGAAGGCAGAUCACUAACACUAUAUUGACGCUGAGGGACGAAAGCGUGGGGAGCGAACAGAAUUAGAUACCCCAGUAGUCC
rnacentral:rRNA from 1 species